UGCUUCUCAUGAGCACCGCUCUGUCCCUGCUGUGACAUUGUAUGGAUUCGCAUGAGAAGUAGAGUAGGCUCACAGUUAAACAGACAGCUUCCUGGGUGGAAGUUGUCCAUGUCUGAUGUGAAACAGCU
rnacentral:snoRNA from 1 species